GAUUGGCAGCAGCAGCGUAACCCAACUUGCAAACGUAACAUUAUGCCUGUUUGGGAGCUGCAGCCCCAAUGGAAACCAAUGGAACCAAAUGGUACCCAGUCCCACAUCAAUGGCAAACGCGUGCCUAUAAAUUUCCAGGGGUUUGUGUGUGUGCGUGUGGGCACACCCUUGUGGGCGGGGCCAUUCAUUUGGUGUCGCUAACUUGAGAUUUUUAUUUGCCAGCAUACGCAAACGUUGCGUGCGCUGGUGGCACCGCCUGGAUUUCUUUAUUCAAUCGUUUUUGUUGCUCCCACAGCGCCCUCAUCAUCAGUUGCCAUAAAAUAAAAGUUACGCACACCCCAGGGACAACAUAACAGGCCACACACACAGACUCGCACACACACGCACACACACAUGCAUGUCCUGCGGCAUGGUGGCAACCAUGGCAUGCUUGACCGAUUUUGUAAGGUUUCAUUUUCAAUACGGAGAGACAUAUGAGCAGUGACCACAAAUAAUUUCCAUAGCGGCAAAAUGGAAAAUUGCGAACAAAAAAUAGAAGAGUAGGGAAAUUUGCAUGCUGCGCAGUUUUCAAUGAACAAUGACGUCACACACACAUACACGCACACACGCUCGAUAAGGAACACAGCAGUUGACACAGCAUUGCAGAGGCUUAUCAAAUCGAGCUAUAAACCGAACCCAACCCAACCCAACUCAAGCCAACUCAACUCAAGUCAAGUCAAGUCGAGCAGAAGCAAUGAAAAUUCAGCCUGAGAUUUUCCUGGGCUGGAGGAAAGUGCUAAGCUUAUUGCGUCGUUUAGGCAACACCCGAAACGAAUUGCCGGCGAAAAGACGCCAACGAAUGUGAACCCUUUGAGUGACAGACAUGAAGAUAUAAGCACACAUCCAAACAAAGGCGCACACUCACACGCACACACACACACAUACGCACACACUAAACGGAGCAGUCGUUUAGACUUUUCACGUAAGCAACUUUAAGGCUUUCAUUUGCAAGGAAAGCUGUGACUGGCUUCAAAGUGGCGCAAAGUGUCGCCUUCGCGUCGUCAGUGGUGCGCCACAUGCGAGUGAGUUUCUGGCCAGCAGCUUUCCGGUCGGGACAUGGCUCAUGUUACCAGGCAACUGGGCGGACUGUUGGGCGGUGUUGUAUAACGUGUAACGGAUCUGCAAGUUUUUUUUCUCUCUGUUUGUUUUUGUUUUUGCGGCAACGGCAACGGCAAUUUUUAUGACUCUAUUUACCCAAGGCACACACGAGGCGCACAAGAAACUUGGCCAUUGCUGCUGAUAAGAAAUGUGAGCUUGAAGCUACAAGCUCGGAACUGGGAGCUGGGAACGCAGUCUGGGAAAUUUAUGCAGAUUUUGAGGCCCAAAAGACAACACACACGCUGAUGUGACAUGGGCAUGGGUUGAGUAAAGUGACUAUUGUAAAAUAUAUUAACAUAAAUUUGACAUAAAUGCUUCAAGAACAGUUUUUACCGCAACGCUUCAGGCGGAGCUUGUCUAAAAAAUAUAAAUGGCAAAGCAAAUCUAAAACAGCUAAAGCCAACGCGACGUCAACGCGCAUAAUAAAUGGCAAAUAACUCUGCAAAUGCCGCCCGUUGCUCCGGUUGGACAGUCAUUGGAUAUUCAUCAUACGCCCCGUUGCCCCGCUCUUCCAUUGCUCGCAGCAGCGAAACUCGUCAAAAAAUGCGGCAACGCUCGGAAAAUGCGUCGGCGCUAAAAUAUGCAAACGAAAUAUUGCGUGCGACAAAUGAAAGGACAAUUUACUUUGGAGUGUCUCUCUUCAAUUGGCUGCGCGUAUAUAUUACAUAUAUAUAUAUAUUUAUAAAGGACAUUUAUCAGUGAACUUUGAGUGCAAUGGAGAAUCGGCGUCAAAAUGAAAAAUACAAUCAAUUAACAUUUAAUGCUGUACACUCAAACGAAAACAUUUCCCACCUACUUUACAUAAAGCUUGUCUAAAUAUAUCUCUGCGAUUCCGAAAUUUUCUUGAAUA